AAAGAGUUAUUAUUCAGAAAGAGUUACUGGGUCACCACUGAACAUGGUCCAUAAUAUUUCUCCUCAAACUCAAAUGAAAAUUCAACUUGUUUUAUUUACCAGCUCAUAAAGUUCCUGAAGAUGGAUAAUUUUUUCUCAUGAGCUUCCAGGAGCUGGUGUCAGCACACCACUGUUUGUCUGAUGAGUGAGUAACACUUCCUGGAGAAGGUGAAACCUCAAGUGAGUCUUAACAGAAAGCCAAAAAGAAGCGAUAGGAAGGAAGCGACACUGUGCCUUAUGAAAGUUUGGUUAUGAAAAACCUUCUAGAGAAUUAACUUUGAGUCAACAUUCCCUACUCCUGUUGUUUUGAGAAGAUCUAAAGAAAUGUGACCCUUGUGAGGCCAGAAAGGAUUCACCAACUUCUCACAGCUGCUGGAGGGUCUCAGGUUGCUGAAUUAAUACACCAAAAGUCACAAUUUGAAUCGAAAAUGAACUGCUCUAUUGAAUACAUCCAUCAUGGCUGAAAAUAUCUUUGGAGUUCACAAGUUACAAAAACACCCCUGUCUCAAACCAUUGAACUACACAUGAAUCAUCUUGUGUAAUCUUGUCAUUUUGGCUUGGAUAUUUUCUAACUCAAUUGGCAGAACAAGGAAAGACAGUGCAUUUGAAGAAUUGCAUACAUAGAACCAUACGAAAGCCCCAAAUGACAUAUGCAAUAGUGCUAUUCUAAAUAAAAGACCAAAGCUGAUUGUCUGGGACAAAUUUUGGGUUCCAAAGGUAGUAGCUAUGCGUGGAUUUACAGAACCACAUCAGGGUAAGAUGAGUGAGUCUGGAAUUCUUUUUACUACAAACACUUUAGUGAAACCACAGAAGCAGUUUAAGUGACUUCGGAAAACAAAAAACAAAAAAACAAAAAAAAACACCUUUCUUAUAAAUGGACUAACAUAAUUUUUUUUUUUUUUUUUUUUUUUUUUUUUUUUUUUUUUUACUUUAAGUUCUGAGAUACAUUUGCAGAACAUGCAGGUUUGUUACAUAGGUAUACAAGUGCCACGGUAGUUUGCUGCACCUAUCAACCCAUCAUCUAGGGUAUAAGCCCACAUGUCUUAGAUAUUUGUCCUAAUGCUCUCCUUCCCCUUGCCCCCACCCAACCCUCCAACAGGCCCUGGUAUAUGAUGGUCCCCUUCCUGAGUCCAAGUUUUCUCAUUGUUCAAUUCUCACUUAUGAGUGAGAAAUUUUUUUUAGAUUUAGAUUUAGAUUGAAGUAGCUUCAAAUUAGAGAGCCUUCUAAUCCACGAAAUAAAAUGACAAGUAAGUCAUUCCAACAUAUGGAUUACAAUAAAAGAUAAGCAAAGAUGAAAUAAAACAAGAAAGUGCUUUUCAUGUUUUCUAAUUUGAUCAUUCUCUUAAGUAAUAUGAAAAAAAGAAUUAACUGCAAUAAAGAAAUCAGUUGAGAUGGAAGAGAAGCCAAAGAGU
rnacentral:lncRNA from 1 species